GAUGAACGCUGGCGGCGCGCCUAACACAUGCAAGUCGAACGGCACCCCUCCUCGGAGGGAAGCGAGUGGCGAACGGCUGAGUAACACGUGGAGAACCUGCCCCCUCCCCCGGGAUAGCCGCCCGAAAGGACGGGUAAUACCGGAUACCCCGGGGUGCCGCAUGGCACCCCGGCGAAAGCCCCGACGGGAGGGGAUGGCUCCGCGGCCCAUCAGGUAGACGGCGGGGUGACGGCCCACCGUGCCGACAACGGGUAGCCGGGUUGAGAGACCGACCGGCCAGAUUGGGACUGAGGCACGGCCCAGACUCCUGCGGGAGACGGCAGUGGGGAAUCUUGCGCAAUGGGGGGAACCCUGACGCAGCGACGCCGCGUGCGGGACGGAGGCCUUCGGGUCGUAAACCGCUUUCAGCAGGGAAGAGUCAAGACUGUACCUGCAGAAGAAGCCCCGGCUAACUACGUG
rnacentral:rRNA from 1 species